rnacentral:rRNA from 1 species
CCUACGGGAGGCAGCAGUGAGGAAUAUUGGUCAAUGGACGCAAGUCUGAACCAGCCAUGCCGCGUGCAGGAUGACGGCUCUAUGAGUUGUAAACUGCUUUUGUACGAGGGUAAACUCCGAUACGUGUAUCGUGUUGAACGUAUCUUACGAAUAAGGAUCGGCUAACUCCGUGCCAGCAGCCGCGGUAAUACGGAGGAUCCGAGCGUUAUCCGGAUUUAUUGGGUUUAAAGGGUGCGUAGGCGGGUUGAUAAGUUAGAGGUGAAAUGUCGGGGCUCAACCCCGAAACUGCCUCUAAUACUGGUGGGCUAGAGAAUAGUUGCGGUAGGCGGAAUGCAUGGUGUAGCGGUGAAAUGCUUAGAGAUCAUGCAGAACACCGAUUGCGAAGGCAGCUUACCAAACUGUAACUGACGUUGAGGCACGAAAGCGUGGGUAGCAAACAGGAUUAGAUACCCGGGUAGUC